rnacentral:rRNA from 1 species
GACGAAUGCUGGCGGCGUGCUUAACACAUGCAAGUCGAACGCUGAAGCUCAGCUUUUGUUGGGUGGAUGAGUGGCGAACGGGUGAGUAACACGUGAGUAACCUGCCUCCUUCUUUGGGAUAACGCCCGGAAACGGGUGCUAAUACUGGAUAUUCACUGGUCUUCGCAUGGGGGUUGGUGGAAAGGGUUUUUCUGGUGGGGGAUGGGCUCGCGGCCUAUCAGCUUGUUGGUGGGGUGAUGGCCUACCAAGGCUUUGACGGGUAGCCGGCCUGAGAGGGUGACCGGUCACAUUGGGACUGAGAUACGGCCCAGACUACUACGGGAGGCAGCAGUGGGGAAUAUUGCACAAUGGGCGCAAGCCUGAUGCAGCGACGCCGCGUGAGGGAUGGAGGCCUUCGGGUUGUGAACCUCUUUCGCUCAUGGUCAAGCCGCAACAAUGGUUGUGGUGAGGGUAGUGGGUAAAGAAGCGCCGGCUAACUACGUG